UAAAUUUCACAAGCAUGCAAU
rnacentral:piRNA from 1 species